rnacentral:ncRNA from 2 species
AAGGGUUAUGUGGCUCUUUAAGUCUCUUUUAAAAUCUCAAGGCUCAACUAUGUACAUUUUAUGUACAUUUGAUGGAAACUAUCAAACUAAAGUACGAUAGGGGCAAAGGGAAUUUCUGGUGGAGCAAUAUAAUUCAUCAAGAUCGGAAAGAACACCAACGGUGAAAGCAUUUUGAUGGGCCAACAGUGAUACUAGGAGACAAAAACUAAGGGAGCGAAUGAGAUUAGAUACCCCAAUAGUCCUAACCAAAGUUC